rnacentral:lncRNA from 1 species
UACCCUAGCAGACUGAGUGACAAGCUUUGCCUCAGCAGAAGGCAACAACAACACCCAUACCAGACAGAAACUUAUAAUAGAGAACCAGGAGUUGUUACCCAGGUAUGUUGUGUUUUAAUCGAUACCUAGAAACGAACAAAUCCGGUGCCAUUUUUUUUUCUCUGGUUCCAAACUUGUGAUUUUACGCUAGUUGAGCGUCUUUGCUCGAGUUUACAUGAACGUACUAAAAAAAAUCACGUGUGAGAGUUAAAUAGGUUCGAGGGCUUGACUAAUGCAUUUUUAGUGGCUUUAGAACUUGUUCUUUAAAUGGGAGGAUUCAAAUCUUGCUGGUUGAGCAGCACAUAUCCUUUUAUUCGUGAGGAUAUGUUAGCUUGAGAUAUUUAACCAGCUAGAUCGAUGCAUGCUAUCGAAUAUAUCGAGUUGGAUCUCUCAUGGGAUCUUACUUUUCGCCAUUCGGUACAUUGUUUCAUUCUUUCCAAUUUUUUUUUUCUGUUUUAUGAUGACUAAUGUUCUGUUCUGUUGAUAUUUAUUAUUGAAAGGUAACUUAGCGCAGUUUGGUUUUAUAAAAAAAAUACUGGUAAUGUACUGUGAAGAUUUUAAUUUUGAGGUUUUUCUACAUCUCUUAAGGCCAGUUAUACCAUACCCUUACCGAGCCCUUUUGUUUAUCAUCUCUGUCAAGGUUUGGGUUUUUUUAAUUUUUCUUCUAUUUUUCGAUUUUUAUUAUGAAAUUUUUGUUCAUUUGGGAAAUGGAAUGUCCGAAGAGAUACAAUUUAUAAGAGAAGGUUUUGAUAAUACUUAUUAUUAGUUUUGUGGACUUAAUCUCUCUUUCUUUCUCUCUCAUCUUUUUAAGGUUUUUAAUUAUCUGAUACAUAGUUUCUAUCUCCAGACUUUAGUCAGGUAUUCUCCUCAAAAAUAUUAUGGUUGAUACAGUUACAAGUCUGGAAAACUAAUGUGCCCAUCGUUACAGAUGUGAUAGUCUUCUCGUGCUUACAUCUGCUCCAUUGGGGCUCUACACAUUUGUGGCUGAAUUUUACGUAGUUCUUUGUUACACUAUAUAUUAUAUAUUAUACAAAGACAAAAGAAAUUGUUUUUUUGGGUAUUUUUAGUUUUCGUUUUCUUUACAAACUAAAAUCUUUUUAAAAUUUUUGAAAUCCUAUAUCCUCAGUUUAUAUGUUGACAUAUUUCCCUAUAUAAGUCAUACUUUACUCAUUCGCAUUAUUGUGUCCAGACAUUAGUAAGGUGUCCUGAUCAACAAACUAUGGUUGAUACAGUUACAGGUCUGCGAUGACCUUUUUGUCAUGUUUACAUCUGCUUGGGGCUCUACAGGUACAUGAUCCGUAUACCUCCUCACUUUUAUUGUUAUACAAUCAUAAUUUGAUUGCAUGUUAUGAUUCUUUUAAUCUACAAUUUCUAUAUAGCAGAAUGUUUUAGCUUGCUUGGAUGGGGGUUUUCAAAAUUUAUAAAAAUUCAAAAUUUGAGGGAAAUAAUACUAAUUCAAUUCUUGUUUUUGUUAAGUUGUAUUUUUUUUUUGAAUAAUUUUAGUGCAGCUAUAAUUUCAGUUUAAAAACAAAAUGGAAAAUAGGUAGGCCCUCUAAGAACUCUCAUUCUACAAUUGACAGUCAUGUCAGCAAGCUCCAAUGGUGGAAACCUAUCAGAACAACUUCUUUCCAAGAACCCCUGCUGUAACCCCCAUUGGCUUAAUAUGGGAGAGAUGAGCUUCUGGACUAUCAAUUUUCUUAGAGGCAUGGCUCUGGUGUAUUAUUUUCAAUCCUGGGCUUAUGACAUUUUUAUCAACAAUAUUCUCUUAAUACAAUUAUCCAUUUCAUGCUUCUUCUUUUUGGGUAAUUUUGAGCCUUGAAUUGCAUACCAGAUUUUUGUACCAAUUAUUUUCAUAUUUGACCCACUUUCUGUUUGUUCUGGAAUAAUGGUCAGAAGGGAGACAGUGAUGUUGUUUUCAUCUUUUAGUUCAGAAAAUAGACAUUAGUAAGAGCCUUAGUCCUGGCAAGGUAAUUCAGUGAUGUUGUCAAAAUAUCAUUAUCCUUUAUACGAUGUUGUCAAAGUAUCAUUAUCCUUUAUACAAAUGCUGAUGAUGCAGCCAUGGUGAGGCUCUUCUCUUCUGUCUCUUGCCUGUGUAAAGAUGAAUCUGAGUCUCUUUUCUGAAACCCUGCUAUUAGGGUUAUACUCAUGAGUCAUUAGUUUAAGUAUGAGGCUCCACUCUUUGAGAGAAGGUUGUCUUGAUAGCUGUUGCCCUCUUGAAGUUGGUUAGCCAAUGAUCAUUAUAAUUGAAUUUCCAAACAGCUCUCCACAUACAUACACGCACACAAACAUGUAUUUCUUUCUGCUUCUAUUGGGAAAACAACAGCAACUACUUCUUCUUCUUCUUCUUCUUGCUAUUACGAGGCAAUGAUGAUGUUUUCUGCAAUUAAAUCAGAUAUGAGUGAAGAGCUGUGUCCUGGCUAGGUGACUCGGUGUCUGUGUGAAAUUGACCUUCUGGUUGCACAGAUGCUAUUGACGCAGCCUGUGCACAAGCCAUUCCUUUGCUGUCUGAAAAAAGGCGAAUCUGAGCCUCCUUUAUUCAUAAUAAUUUUAACUUUCUGACAUAAUUAUAAAUUUGUAUUUUUCUUCUGAAUGCUUUAAUAUGGCAGGUUAUAGGAACACAUUCAUUGUUCACCCAUAUAACCGAAGCUUUUUAUUGCACCAAUGUUUCUGCAUUUGUAUGUGACUUGGGGAGUGUGGCUGAAAAGUGACCUUUUUGAGCAUUUGAUACUUCUACCCUCGGUGAAGAAUCAGUAUGCAUCAUGGCAGUUACCGGAAGUAAUCUUUAUUGGUUUACUCAUCGAGAUGAGGUUCAAAUAAUUAAACAAGUGAUUCUUCACUUUUCUUCAUUUUCAUUUCCCUCCUGUAGUUGUUCUAUAGUGAUGCACAUGGUUAAUCCAAAUAUAUUUAAAUUAACUUGCGUUUUGGUCAAAUAGGAUUCAUGAGGAACCUAUUUGCUCCAUUAAUAUGCAUCUGAUUCAAGUUGAUUCUUUCAAAGGGAGAGAAAUGAGAGGUAACACGACAUUUCCCCCAAAUGCCUUAUUUUGCAUAAUUUGUAUUUGACUUUUAAUCACUGAUUUUACAAUGACUUGUUCCCUUGCCUGCAGGACUUGCUUGCUAAUUUUUUGGUUUUAAACUCUUCUGCAAUCUUGAAAAGGAUGUGUUGUUUUAGAACCUGAGGCUGAUUUUUGUCCUAGAACUGCAAGGUCGCCAAUCAUUGUUCAAUUGUUCAAUUUUUGAAUCAAUUUUAGGCAGGGGGAACGUUUGCUGUUCAUGAAACUUUUUUAAUGAAAGUAGUGGCGAUGCAGCCUAAAAAGGAUUAUGAUGACAUACAUUCUGAUGUGUGUUUUUAUCAAUUUUGCAG